UGGUGGGCAUGAAUGUUUGGGGAGAAUACAUUGGCUGUCCAAGAAGGAAGGAGCUGUAGUUUCUCUGCAGUAAAAAAGAAAGAAUUUCAAUCCUGAAGAAAGACUCUCUGAUUUUGCCUCAUCAGAUUCUUUAAGCUGUGGCUGCUUAACCGGGAUUCCAUGAUCAACAGAGCGCUGCACUGUCAGAGGAGUAGCCUUUUUGACGAGAUGCUAAACAGAGGCCUCAUCUGCCCUGUGUGUUGGAGCUAAAACAGCAUAAAAAGCAGAGAGAUUGGGGAUAAUGUCCUGGAUAAUUUUACCUUAACAGUUACCAAGAAAUGGUUGAAGACUCCUGCCUGAAGCUGAACUGGAUGGUUUGGUCUCAUAUCCUCUCUACCAUUAGGACAGCCUAACUCCACUUUGGUCUACCUGAGCCCCCAAGUGCAAAUUCUUACCAGUACUUUGUUCCGUCUAGACUCAAUUAUUCCAAUGCUGUCCUGUCAAUCCUCCAUUCACCCAGCCUCAGUAAACUUAGCCAAAUCUUUGAUGACCACAUUCUAAUUUUCAGACAUGUCAUUCAUCCAUCAUCCCUGUGCUCAAUGAUGUGCACUGGGUCUAAUUCUAUUAACUUUUUUUAAGUUAAUAUGAUCAUUUGUGUAUUCAAGUACCUCCGGGCACCCCCAUCCCACACUGGCUUCCCUGCAAUCUUCACCAGCCCUAUAAACCCUUGGUCCAGGCCAUUUUUGGAGAACUGCGUACAGUUCUGGUCACUUUGCUAUAGGAAGAGUGUUAUUAAGUUGGAAAAAGUGCAGAAAAG